GAGAGUUAAACAGUACGUGAAAUUGUUGAAAGGGAAACGAUUGAAGUCAGUCAUACUAACGGGAAAUCAACCUCUUGAGUUUGGUCUCGUGGGUUUCGAAGAGUUUAAAAGCCUUCGGAUUUUCGAGAUUGGGCUCUUCUGGUGUACUUUCUCGUACGGUUAGUCAACAUCGGUUUUGAAUGUCAUAAAAUGACUGAAGGAAUGUGGCUUCGAUCUCGUAUUGAAGUGUUAUAACCUUUGGUAGAUGUGAUGUUUGAGACCGAGGAUUGCAACGGAUAGCCUUCUGGGCUAUUCGUCUGAUCUCUGAAACGUUGCCUUGAUGUCGAAAGCUUGCUUAUGAUGUUAGGGUAUUACGGUCAAAAGGUUAGAACGGAUUAAAUUCGUUAAGGAUGUUGACGUAAUGACUUUAAACGA
rnacentral:rRNA from 1 species